rnacentral:rRNA from 1 species
UAACACAUGCAAGUCGAGCGGUAACAUUUCUAGCUUGCUAGAAGAUGACGAGCGGCGGACGGGUGAGUAACGCGUAGAAUCUACUAGUAGUGGGGAUAGCCCAGAGAAUUUGGAUUAAUACCGCAUACGCCUACGGGGGAAAGCGGGGGAUCUUCGGACCUCGUGCUAUUAGAUGAGUCUGCGUCGGAUUAGCUUGUUGGUGAGGUAAUGGCUCACCAAGGCGACGAUCCGUAGCUGGUCUGAGAGGAUGACCAGCCACACUGGAACUGAGACACGGUCCAGACUCCUACGGGAGGCAGCAGUGGGGAAUAUUGCACAAUGGGCGCAAGCCUGAUGCAGCCAUGCCGCGUGUGUGAAGAAGGCCUUAGGGUUGUAAAGCACUUUCAGCAGUGAGGAAAGGGGUGGUCGUUAAUAGCGCCAUCCUGUGACGUUAACUGCAGAAGAAGGACCGGCUAACUCCGUG